UGGGGAAUAUUGGGCAAUGGACGCAAGUCUGACCCAGCAACGCCGCGUGAAGGAAGAAGGCUUUCGGGUUGUAAACUUCUUUUAAGGGGGAACAGUAGAAGAGGGUACCCCUUGAAUAAGCCACGGCUAACUACGUGCCAGCAGCCGCGGUAAUACGUAGGUGGCAAGCGUUGUCCGGAUUUACUGGGUGUAAAGGGCGUGCAGCCGGAGAGACAAGUCAGAUGUGAAAUCUGCGGGCUUAACCCGCGAACUGCAUUUGAAACUGUUUCCCUUGAGUAUCGGAGAGGUAAUCGGAAUUCCUAGUGUAGCGGUGAAAUGCGUAGAUAUCUGGAAGAACACCAAAGGCGAAGGCAGUCUCCUGGGCAAAUACUGACGCUCAUAUGCGAAAGCGUGGGUAGCAAACAGGAUUAGAUACCCUGGUAGU
rnacentral:rRNA from 1 species